rnacentral:misc_RNA from 1 species
GAUGAAGAACGUAGCGAAAUGCGUUAAGUAAUGUGAAUUGCAGAAUUCAGUGAAUCAUCGAAUCUUUGAACGCACAUUGCGCCCGCCAGUAUUCUGGCGGCCAUGCCUGUCCGAGCGUCAUUUCAACCCUCGGGCCCCCCUCUGCGGGCGGCCCGGCGUUGGGGCUCAGGCGCCGUCUCUGCUCGGCGCCUGUCCCCUAAAUGCAGUGGCGGCCUCGCCGCUGCCUCCUCCGCGUAGUAGCACAAACCUCGCGGCUGGAAGGCGGCGCGGCCACGCCGUAAAACCCCCCAACUUUUUAUAGUUGACCUCGAAUCAGGUAGGACUACCCGCUGAACUUAAGCAUAUCAAUAAGCGGAGGA